AGUCAUAUGCUUGUCUCAAAGAUUAAGCCAUGCAUGUCUCAGUACAAGCCAAAUUAAGGUGAAACCGCGAAAGGCUCAUUAAAUCAGUUAUGGUUCCUUAGACCGUACCACACUUACAUGGAUAACUGUGGUAAUUCUAGAGCUAAUACAUGAGUAUAGAGUUCCGACCGGAGACGGGAGGAAUGCUUUUAUUAGACCAAAGCCAAUCGGCGGCGGGGUUCGCGCCUCGUCGUCGUUCUGUUUGGUGACUCUGAAUAACUAUGCUGAUCGCACGGUCUCGCACCGGCGACGUGUCUUUCAAAUGUCUGCCUUAUCAACUGUCGAUGGUAGGCUCUGCGCCUACCAUGGUUAUAACGGGUAACGGGGAAUCAGGGUUCGAUUCCGGAGAGGGAGCCUGAGAAACGGCUACCACAUCCAAGGAAGGCAGCAGGCGCGCAAAUUACCCACUCCCGGCACGGGGAGGUAGUGACGAAAAAUAACGAUACGGGACUCAUCCGAGGCCCCGUAAUCGGAAUGAGUACACUUUAAAUCCUUUAACGAGGAUCAAUUGGAGGGCAAGUCUGGUGCCAGCAGCCGCGGUAAUUCCAGCUCCAAUAGCGUAU
rnacentral:rRNA from 1 species